GAUGAAGAACGUAGCGAAAUGCGAUACGUAAUGUGAAUUGCAGAAUUCAGUGAAUCAUCGAAUCUUUGAACGCAUAUUGCGCUCUUUGGUAUUCCGAAGAGCAUGCUUGUUUGAGUAUCAGUAAACACCUCAAAAGAUUUUCAUUUUUGAAAUGAUUUUGGACUUGAGCAAUCCCAACACCAGUCUUCACGGAUCGGCGGAGGGUUGCUUGAAAUGCAGGUGCAGCUGGACAUUCUCCUGAGCUAAAAGCAUAUCUAUGUAGUCCCGUCAAACGGAUUAUUACUUUUGCUGCAGCUAACAUAAAGGGAGUUUGACCAUUUUGGCUGACUGAUGCAGGAUUUCACAAGGGUCGGUAAAACGAUUUUUGUAAAACUCGAUCUCAAAUCAAGUAAGACUACCCGCUGAACUUAAGCAUAUCAAUAAGCGGAGGA
rnacentral:misc_RNA from 1 species